rnacentral:rRNA from 1 species
GAUGAACGCUGGCGGCGUGCCUAAUACAUGCCAGUCGAGCGAACAGACGAGGAGCUUGCUCCUCUGACGUUAGCGGCGGACGGGUGAGUAACACGUGGAUAACCUACCUAUAAGACUGGGAUAACUUCGGGAAACCGGAGCUAAUACCGGAUAAUAUAUUGAACCGCAUGGUUCAAUAGUGAAAGACGGUUUUGCUGUCACUUAUAGAUGGAUCCGCGCCGCAUUAGCUAGUUGGUAAGGUAACGGCUUACCAAGGCGACGAUGCGUAGCCGACCUGAGAGGGUGAUCGGCCACACUGGAACUGAGAUACGGUCCAGACUCCUACGGGAGGCAGCAGUAGGGAAUCUUCCGCAAUGGGCGAAAGCCUGACGGAGCAACGCCGCGUGAGUGAUGAAGGUCUUCGGAUCGUAAAACUCUGUUAUUAGGGAAGAACAAAUGUGUAAGUAACUAUGCACGUCUUGACGGUACCUAAUCAGAAAGCCACGGCUAACUACGUG